rnacentral:lncRNA from 1 species
CAUUUUGUUUCUGUUUUCUAUUGUUUGACCUUAAUCUUCUCUAUCUUUGGUCAUAGCUUCUUGAUUAUCUCAUUGCAUUUCAUUUAAUGCACUUUAAUUCUUCAUUUCUAUUCUUUAUCUUCUAUCUUCUUCUUUUUUUUUUUUUUGAUCAAUGAGUUAAAGGUUGAUGGUUAGCAUUGAUUAGGGAGGUUUAAUCUUCCUUGAUUCAAAUCUAAUUCAUCUUGAUCAAUGAUCAAGUGAAUGGCUU